rnacentral:rRNA from 1 species
UACGUAGGGUGCAAGCGUUAAUCGGAAUUACUGGGCGUAAAGCGUGCGCAGGCGGUUGAGCAAGACCGAUGUGAAAGCCCCGGGCUUAACCUGGGAAUGGCAUUGGUGACUGCUCGGCUAGAGUGUGUCAGAGGGGGGUAGAAUUCCACGUGUAGCAGUGAAAUGCGUAGAGAUGUGGAGGAAUACCGAUGGCGAAGGCAAUCCCCUGGACCUGUACUGACGCUCAUGCACGAAAGCGUGGGGAGCAAACAGG